UGAGCAGCUGGAAAUGGUUGGAGGAGGGAAACCACUCAGGGGGAAGCAGCUGCUGGGGUUUAUAAAAGCAGGAAGAGCAGCAGAGGUUGGGGUUUUCCUUGUCCCAAAGGUGCUUCCUGCUAGGAGUGAGGAAUCCAACUGUUCAUCUUCUCUUCUCCAGCCCCUGCAACUGCUGGAACCAAGGAGAGCAAUUUUCUGUCCACUGUCCAAGAGGUAUUUAAUAAUCUGAACCCAGCCGGUGGGGGAAGAAGCAUUUCAUUGUUUGCUGAGGCUCCUGCUCGGGUUUUGGCCUCCUUCAAUGUGAGGGAAUUUGAAGAAGCUUCCAAGUGUGAGACAAAUCUCGUGGCUGAGAUGGUUCAAAGGAGGCUGAGGAAAAGAAGCACUCAGGGUCCAGGGAAGGUAAAACUAUCAGAAGAAAACCCCUAGAGAUUAAUUUGGAAUUUGUGGGCUGAAGAAUGAGGAUUUGAGUCACAGCUGACCACAUGUCUUCAGAAUCAGAGAAUCAUUAAGGCUGGAAAAGACUUUCAAGAUCAUUAAGCCCAACCUUUGUAUUUGCAGUUAACAAGGUGAAUUCUGACUAAAAUAUCCAAGGUGGUAGAGAUCCAUUAAAAAAAUCCAUUUUUUGCCAUUGUUAGAUGUAAUUGCAUUCCUUCUUUACUGCAUGUAAUUGUCUUUUGGGUACAUAUUUUUAUUAGUGAUCAGGAAAACACCAGUAGCAGCCUAAAAUAUGAAAUAUUUAAUGUAAAAUAUGAAAACCUCAUAGCCUUAGUGGAAAAAACUUAAAUAUAGGUUAAAAUAGCACAGAAGUUUGGGAUUGCAAUGGGAUUGCAAUGAUAAAUAUAAUUUUUUGUUCUAGAACUCUGUGUUUGGCAUAGAAAAUAUAAAAAAGAGGAAAAGUGCCACAAGAGAAAUCUGAGUUUUGCUUAGAGAGGAUAAAAAAAGGUGCCUGUAUGGAGAUUUAGAUUGUACAUGCAAUGCAUUUAAGGAGUUGUUGAAUCCAGAGUUAAAUUGUUAAUUUGUUCUAUGUUAUCUUUUAAAACUCAUGAAUAGCAAAGAUAAUUCUCUCUAGUUUACUACAGAGCAGGUACUUGAGGUCAUGAGUCUCCUCUGCUUUAGUUACAAGGUACAGGAAUUCUUGAUCACAGCCUUCAAAUCUGAUUUUCUUCACUUUCUCCUUCUGUCUUUCCUUUUCUCCCCCCCAACAGAAUUGCAGUUUUCUCAGUAUUCUCUCGUCCUCAAAUGUCACUGUAAAUCAGCCCUCCAGCUGUCUCCAUUCCUCUUUCCUCUGGCUCCUUCCACAGUGCACUUAUUAAAUAUAACAAUAACAAUAAAUUAUCUCCGCUCCUCUGUUUAAAUCACAAACAUUUCUUUUGGUCAGGUUGUGCCAGCAAAUCCUGCAGCCUCUUCUCUCCUGCUCUCCAAAAUUUCAGUGCUGGCUGCUCUCUCCCAUCUCCUUUUCCACCACUCCAUCCCUGCUCCAAUCUCUCCCUACCACUCCUUUUCCUUCUUCACAAUAUUCAUCCCUCAGUAUUUCAGCGUGACUUUUCUACAGGAAAAAUCCUCUUAAAAUUCAGAUAUUCCCGCUUAAGAUGGCUCUGCUCUUGAAAAAUCUUCUGGUGACAUCAAGGCAAAAUAUUU